rnacentral:rRNA from 1 species
GCCAGACUCCUACGGGAGGCAGCAGUGGGGAAUAUUGCACAAUGGGGGGAACCCUGAUGCAGCGACGCCGCGUGGGUGAAGGAGCACCUCGGUGCGUAAAGCCCUAUCGGCAGGGAAGAAACAGACGGUACCUGACUAAGAAGCCCCGGCUAACUACGUGCCAGCAGCCGCGGUAAUACGUAGGGGGCAAGCGUUAUCCGGAAUUACUGGGCGUAAAGGGUGCGUAGGUGGUUUCUUAAGUCAGAGGUGAAAGGCUACGGCUCAACCGUAGUAAGCCUUUGAAACUGGGGAACUUGAGUGCAGGAGAGGAGAGUGGAAUUCCUAGUGUAGCGGUGAAAUGCGUAGAUAUUAGGAGGAACCCCAGUUGCGAAGGCGGCUCUCUGGACGGUAACUG